CCUACGGGAGGCAGCAGUGGGGGAUAUUGCACAAUGGGGGAAACCCUGAUGCAGCGACGCCGCGUGGGCGAAGAAGUAUUUCGGUAUGUAAAGCCCUAUUAGCAGGGAAGAAGAAAUGACGGUACCUGAGUAAGAAGCACCGGCUAAAUACGUGCCAGCAGCCGCGGUAAUACGUAUGGUGCAAGCGUUAUCCGGAUUUACUGGGUGUAAAGGGAGCGCAGGCGGCACGGCAAGCCUGAUGUGAAAGUCCGCGGCCCAACCGCGGGACUGCAUUGGGAACUACCGGGCUGGAGUGCCGGAGAGGUAGGCGGAAUGCGUGGUGUAGCGGUGAAAUGCGUAGAUAUUAGGAGGAACACCGGUGGCGAAGGCGGCCUACGGGACGGUGACUGACGCUGAGGCUCGAAAGCGUGGGUAGCAAACAGGAUUAGAUACCCUUGUAGUC
rnacentral:rRNA from 1 species